GCAGCAGGCAGAAAUGAGUUUAUUGCAUUAGAAAAAACACCGAAGAAAACCAGCAAACACCUCCGUACUAGACAGUUAUUAGUUUGACUCAAGGGCAUAAAGAAAACUCAGAUACUAGAUUUACUUCUGGGAGGGGGUGAUGGUCUCAUCCCUCCUCCUUCCCUAUCCCUUUAAACCAAUGGACCUCUAGAGGUGUCCACUGUGCAAUACAAGUACGUGACUCUUCCCACUGUGCUUGCCUGUUCACAUCCAGGCGGAGUUAGCCGGCCACAAUGAGAAUGCUCCUGAGGUGCUGGGACAGACAGAAAUAUGAGGAUGGGGGUAGGCAGUUGAAGCCUGAGCCUGAGUUUACAGUUAGUGACAGUGGGGCUCCCAUUGGGAGGGAGAGCUUGCCUUCCCAUGGAGCUCUGGGAAAACUGCUCAGUGAUCCCUCGCUCUCUCCCCACAAACCCUAGGGCACAGGCAAUGGCACAAAUGGCUGCUAGUAUAAAGGGGGGUGCUGUUCAAGGAAAUGAGUGACUCAAAUUCUCUCAGGGGAGCUGCUCCUGGGCCUAAGGGUGCCUGCUGGAAGAAGCAAACCAGCUGAAACUGGAUCUGGAAGAGGAGAAAGGAAAAAAAGGAGCUGUGAUGCCCAGAACCCCCUGGAUGGAGGGGAGACCCCAGGCAGAGGGGUCUGGAGCAGGACCCUGGAAGACAGAGCCGGGCCAGGCAAGCUGGAAAAGGGAACAACACUGGUGGGAAACAGAGCACUGGCCAAGACCAACCUGCUACCCUCCCAGAAGAAACCCAGCCUCAGAAAUUCUUUCUCUUUGGGCCCAAUUCUGCUAGUAGAUCACAAUUAUACAACAGUCCCUGCUAGUUUCUGCUCUAAUCUAUUAUUUCCAUGCACACUGGCAAAUCAGUGGGUCUUGAGAAGAAUUAAACUUUCAAUCAUUUGGCCUCUACAAGUUCCCAAAUGUCACUUGACAUCCCAGCUGGUCAUGCCCCUGGUCAGGUUGCAGGCAAACACUGAGGCAGAAUGACAGCUCCUCUAGCUGAGACUCUGAUGAUGCCAAACUGUGAUGGCUGAUGGCAAAGAUAGCAGCAGAUGGGGCCAGAAAUGAGCAGCAGCUUUUUGGAGAGGAAAGGCCUGUGCUGCAGGCCAGACUUCCAGGAAGAAGCAACAUAAUUCAAGUCCGUGAAGUGGCAAGAAGUUGUGGCAGAAGGGGCCCAAGGAUGUCAGACCUGAGACUCGGGUACCUGGCCGCUCUGAGUCCCUUCUUCAUGCUCACUUUCCCAAAAUCUAACUAAUGGAGGUUCACGUGAAGAGAGGGAAUCUGAAAGUCUCUCUGGAUUAGAGACUCCCAGACUGUUCCCUGACUAUAACCUCCUAGCAGCAAGUCAUUAGGAAAAUGCCCACUCAUGCCCCAACCUGCCUUUCUAAAGUCAGAAUGACAAUGGAAAUAACGUGUGCCUUCAAAACACAUUUAGGAUAAGGGAAAGUCCCUAUCAGAAACGAUUCUAAAUUUUCUUGCCACCUUGAUUCCACUUCAUUAUUUUAUUUUUUUGAGAUGGAGUCUCACUCUGUCGCCCAGGCUGGAGUGCACUGGUACGAUCUCGGCUCAUCGCAAUCUCUGCCUCCCGGGUUCAAGCGAUUCUCCUGCCUCAGCCUCCCGAGUAGCUGGGACUACAGGCAUGCGCCACCAUGCCCGGCUAAUUUUGUACUUUUAGUAGAGACGGGGUUUCACCAUGUUGGCCAGGCUGGUCUUGAAGUCCUGACCUCAAGUGAUCUGCCUGCCUCGGCCUCCCGAAGUGCUGGGAUUACAGGCGUGAGCCACCGCGCCAGGCCUCACAUCAUUAUUCUUUCCAUAUCAAAGGUAUUUUCUUAGAGUAGGGAAUCCCAUCCCUUGGUCCCCAGCUAAAUACUGCGUACUGGCCUGGAUGGUGGUUACAGAGACUGCAAAUAACCUACAUCAUUACUUGCAGAAAAAAGGCCUUGGUUUCUACUGCUCCAGCCCAGACCUCAUCCACUAUGACAAGUCAGCUAUGCUGAGGAAAGGCAGCCUCGGGGGCACAAAGGCAGGUUUCCCAAAAUUGAUGGCAGAAGAUUGGCAAUCCAUCUAGGUGGAAGGAGGAAUGGCUUUAUCCUGUUUUCUCUGGCCUGAUACUUGCUGUUACUCCCUUGAUCCGGAGGCAAUGGCUGCUCCAGCACUGGCCUUGCUUGGGGUAAGGGAGGGAAGGUGAGGGUUGUGGCUAAAGAGUUCACUUAGGUUAGUCAUCCUGAAACCGGUCCCAUGUACACCAAAUCCUUUGGUUCAUUUAACACUAGAGUAACUUUCUGGGUCACGGAUGUUCUAAAACUCACCUGGGUCCCACAGGUGUUGGCAACUUGGGUAGAGCGUGAGUGUUCUCUGGAAAGAGUUCUAGGUUGGGGCUCCCGCAAACUGUGACUCGCUUUCUGUUUAAACAAAGCCCCUCCCUUUCUCCAGUGUGGAGGACGCUUAGGAAACAGCGUCCGAAGUGAACGCACAGACAAGACAGCCUUAAUAAAUUAGUAUAAUACUAUUAGAAGGGGUGGCAUUUUGUUCUGUUUCUUAGCAGCAUUGUCUACAUGCGGCCUGACGGUCUCCUUCCCUGGGAAAUUUAAAAAGCCAUCCCCUGGUUGUUAGCUCUGAUGUAAAAUUAUAAAAUAGAAAUCUGGUAGGGUUUGUUUUGUUUAAAAAGGAAAAGCCCUGGUGAGGCAGGGCGGUCCCAGGCAGUCCUGUUAGCUCUGGCCGUUGGGUCUGCCCACGGAGCUCCCUCCUGGAGGCUGGAUCUGAAUGGAGUCCAGGAGGGGCCGAAGUGCCUGUCC
rnacentral:lncRNA from 1 species